GGAGAAUAUGCCUUUGACAAGUCU
rnacentral:siRNA from 1 species